AGUGAACGCUGGCGGUAGGCCUAACACAUGCAAGUCGAACGGCAGCACAGUAAGAGCUUGCUCUUACGGGUGGCGAGUGGCGGGCGGGUGAGGAAUACAUCGGAAUCUACUUUUUCGUGGGGGUUAACGUAGGGAAACUUACGCUAAUACAGCAUACGACCUACGGGUGAGAGCAGGGGAUCUUCGGACCUUGCGCGAUUGAAUGAGCCGAUGUCGGAUUUGCUAGUUGGCGGGGUAAAGGCCCACCAAGGCGACGAUCCGUAGCCGGUCUGAGAGGAUGAUCGGCCACACUGGAACUGGGACACGGUCCAGACUCCUACGAGAGGCAGCAGUCGGGAAUAUUAGGCAAUGGGCGCAAGCCUGAUCCAGCCAUACCGCGUGGGUGAAGAAGACCUUCGGGUUGUAAAGCCCUUUUGUUGGUAAAGAAAAGCAUCAGGUUAAUACCCCGCUGUUCUGACGGUACCCAAAGAAUAAGCACCGGCUAACUUCGUG
rnacentral:rRNA from 1 species